CCUCUCGUAGUCUCAAUGGAUAGAGCGUUUGAUUCCGGUUCAAAAGGUUGCAGGUUCGACUCCUGUCGGGGGGA
rnacentral:tRNA from 1 species